GCACAAUAAGUUAAGAUCAUGUCCACUAGGAUAGGAUGUGGAGUCCUGUCUUGCAUGCUGAUGUGAAAUGCCAUGAUGAGUUGCAUGUGCAUUAUUGAUAUGUUUGAUAUGUGUUAAGGAUUCAUGUGGUUUCACAUGGAUCAUUUGAUGAUAUUGUGUGUGAUGUUGUGCUUUUCAGAGGCAGGAUGAGAGGAACUCGUCGAUCUGCUAGAUUGACAGGAGCUCCCCCGGAGGAUGAGGACAUGGAUGCUCAUCUCCCCGUUCUGCAAAGGGCAACAUCAGAUAGUGUAAGCAGAGAAGGUACAUCAAGGGACCCUAGAAGGUCUGUUGAUGAGAGUAGAAGGGGAGUUGUCCAGAGUGGUAUGUCAGGGUUUAUGAGAGAAA
rnacentral:lncRNA from 1 species